ensembl:lncRNA
GGAUGGUGUGUUCAGGGUGAUGAGCUGUGUUGCUUUUACGCCAAACAUAACGUUUUGCAUUGUUGCCAAAAAGUUCAAUUUUGGUUUCAUCUGACCAGAGCACCUUCUUCCACAUGUUUGGUGUGUCUCCCAGGUGGCUUGUGGCAAACUUUAAACUACACUUUUUAUGGAUAUCUUUAAGAAAUAGCUUUCUUCUUGCCACUCUUCCAUAAAGGCCAGAUUUGUGCAAUAUACGACUGAUUGUUGUCCUAUGGACAGAGUCUCCCACCUCAGCUGUAGAUCUCUGCAGAUCAGAUCAGGCCCUGAAGCCAGGAUAUGCAUAUAAUUGGUACCAUUGGAAAGAAAACACUUUGAAGUUUGUAGAAAUGAAAAUAAUGUAGGAGAAUAUAACACAAUAGAUAUGGUAGGAGAAAAUCCAAAGACAAACCAACCAGAAUACAUUUGUUUUGAGAGACCAUCCUCUUACAAUGGCAAGUAUACGGUCAUACGGAAAAUUAGCUCCCUGGAUGCACUUCCUUUCUCUUCCACGGGGUGUCAGCAGUCUAUGUUCCAGGGUUUAGGCUUGUAACUUCAAAAAACGAAUAAGAAAUAACAGUUUUAGUAGAAGGACACAGUCUUGGAAAUUCUGGUUUGCGCACGCCAUUAAGAUAGGACGCACCUGCUAAAAUCGGUUUCCUAUUGAACAUACUUCUUUCCGUAAGAAAUAUUAUAGUUUGAUUACAUUUUGGGGUAUCCGAGGAGUGAUUAGAAACUUUUAACUUGUUGAAAUAAAUUUUAGGGGUAGAUUUUCAGAUUCCUUUCUUUUUUUGUAUGUUGAACGAGUGGAUUACUCAAAUCGAUGGUGCCAACUAAACUGACUUUUUGGGAUAUAAAGAAGGAUGUUAUCUAACAAAACGACACUACAUGUUAUAACUGGGACACUUUGAAAAAUCAGAGGAAGAUUUUCAAAAAGGUUGGCCCUCUAACUCCCUGACCCUGUAACUGCAGUGAGAUUGCCAAGAUGUGACCACAGAUGGUAUAGAUGCAUGGAAGGGCUAAUUUUACCAAGAACAGUGAACCUCAACCCUCCCUAAUCGGCUGAAGUAAUGGCGACAAUGGCGUUCAGUAUGGUCCUGCACCACUUCUACCUGAGUCCGAGCCAACAACCUGUACACAGCAUCCUGUCAAAGCUAUCAACUGCCUUUUCUCACAUGCCUUUUCUCUCAGGAGUGCGACAUUAGUCCACUUGGAGUGAGUAUAGAGAGAGAUCCCGUCAAAGCUUCUUUGAACAUGUGCCAAACAAACUGAAACACUGUCUGAAGAAGAACAUGAAGAAGCGCCAGAAGGAUGAAUGGUGGGAGGGAGGGGGGCUGGUCAAUUGUUAAAGUUUUCUUGUGCUUUUUAUGGAGUUUUCUUAAUGUUCUGGGAACAAUUUGAGAACAUUAAUUUAAAUUUAACCAUGAAGUAACCCGUAGGAAACGUUAUGCUGAAGUAUUGAAAUUCCCACUGAAGAAUGUUGCUUUUUAACGGUCUCUGAACUAUUAUAUUUGAGAACAUUCCCAAUGUAACCAUGUUUGAACUUUUAGAAAACCUUCUGUUAAAGUAAUGAAAUUCCAAG